AUUGAACGUGGCGGCAGGCUUAACACAUGCAAGUCGAGCGGUAACAGGAGAAAGCUUGCUUUCUUGCUGACGAGCGGCGGACGGGUGAGUAAUGCUUGGGAAUCUGCCUGGUAGUGGGGGAUAACUUGCCGAAAGGUAAGCUAAUACCGCGUACGUCCUACGGGAGAAAGCAGGGGAUCUUCAGACCUUGCGCUAUCAGAUGAGCCCAAGCCGGAUUAGCUAGUUGGUAAGGUAAUGGCUUACCAAGGCGACGAUCCGUAGCUGGUCUGAGAGGAUGAUCAGCCACACCGGGACUGAGACACGGCCCGGACUCCUACGGGAGGCAGCAGUGGGGAAUAUUGGACAAUGGGGGGAACCCUGAUCCAGCCAUGCCGCGUGUGUGAAGAAGGUCUUCGGAUUGUAAAGCACUUUAAGUUGGGAGGAANGGCUCCGGGCUAAUACCCUGCGAGUUUUGACGUUACCAACAGAAUAAGCACCGGCUAACUUCGUGCCAGCAGCCGCGGUAAUACGAANGGUGCGAGCGUUAAUCGGAAUUACUGGGCGUAAAGCGCGCGUAAGUGGGUUGUUAAGUUGGAAGUGAAAGCCCCGGCUUAACCUGGGAAUUGCUUUC
rnacentral:rRNA from 1 species